UCAUGGCUCAGAAUGAACGUUGGCGGCGUGGAUUAGGCAUGCAAGUCGAGCGCGAUAUGUAGCAAUACAUGGAGAGCGGCGAAAGGGAGAGUAAUACGUAGGUAUCUACCCUCGGGGUCUGGGAUAGCAGCGGGAAACUGCUGGUAAUACCAGAUAACGUCUCCAGACCAAAGGUGUGAUUCCACCUGAGGAGGAGCCUACGGCCUAUUAGCUAGUUGGUAGGGUAACGGCCUACCAAGGCAAAGAUGGGUAUGGGGUGUGAGAGCAUGCCCCCACUCACUGGGACUGAGACACUGCCCAGACACCUACGGGUGGCUGCAGUCGAGAAUCUUCGGCAAUGGGCGAAAGCCUGACCGAGCGACGCCGCGUGCGGGAUGAAGGCCUUCGGGUUGUAAACCGCUGUCGUAGUGGAGGAAAUGUGGGAGAGUUAUCUCUUCUACUUGACUAAUACUAGGAGGAAGGACCGGCUAAUCUCGUG
rnacentral:rRNA from 1 species